UACGGAGGGUGCAAGCAUUAAUCGGAUUUACUGGGCGUAAAGGGCGCGUAGGCGGCCAUGUAAGUCAGAUGUGAAAUUUCCGGGCUCAACCCUGAAACUGCAUUUGAAACUGCAAGUCUAGAGGAUAGGCGGAGAAAACAGAAUUCCACAAGUAGCGGUGAAAUGCGUAGAUAUGUGGAAGAAUACCGGUGGCGAUGGCGGUUUUCUAGCUUAUUCCUGACGCUAAAGCGCGAAAGCAAGGGGAU
rnacentral:rRNA from 1 species